CAGGACGAACGCUGGCGGCGUGCUUAACACAUGCAAGUCGAGCGGAGAAUAUAGCAAUAUAUUCUUAGCGGCGGACGGGUGAGUAACGCGUGGGUAACCUGCCUUUUACAGGGGAGUAACACUGGGAAACUAGUGCUAAUACCGCAUAAAAUAGUGAAGUGGCAUCACUUUACUAUCAAAGGAGCAAUCCGGUAAAAGAUGGACCCGCGUCCGAUUAGCUAGUUGGAGGGUAACGGCCCACCAAGGCGACGAUCGGUAGCCGAACUGAGAGGUUGAUCGGCCACAUUGGGACUGAGACACGGCCCAGACUCCUACGGGAGGCAGCAGUGGGGAAUAUUGCGCCAAUGGGGGAAACCCUGACGCAGCAACGCCGCGUGAAGGAUGAAGGUUUUCGGAUUGUAAACUUCUUUGAUUGGGGACGAUAAUGACGGUACCCAAAAAACAAGCCACGGCUAACUACGUGCCAGCCGCCGC
rnacentral:rRNA from 1 species